AUGGACGACUUCUUCGACGAGGACGGCGAGCAGCUCAUGGACCCCGACGCCCGCUCCCCCUCGCCCGAGCGCGGGGCGCAGCCCUACGACGGCCUCGAGGACGACCUCGACGACGACGGCGCCGACUGGAACCGCGACCGCUCCCCGACCCCCGUGCACGGCGGCGGCGGCGACGACGGGUCCUCCUCCAGGCCCCGGAAGCGCCUCCUCAAGAAGGGCGGGGGCGGGAAGGGCGACGGCGGCGGCGGCAUGCCCGCCGACGACCUGGAGGACUGGGGCGAGGACGCGGCCGCGGGGCUGGCCGACGACGACGUGGGCGGGGACCCGGACGCCGACAGGAAGAGGAAGGGGUCCUCGAGCCUCAGGGACCUCGCGAGGGGCGGCGGCAAGGACAAGCAUGAGAAGAAGAGGAGGAAGGAGGACGUGGGCAUGGUGAGGGAGAAGAGGGGCUCGUCUUCGGGCGGCAAGGGCUCCGGCGGCGGACGCGGGGGUGGGGAUAGGGGUGAGGAUCAGGAUGAAGAGGGGGAGAAGGAGAUCCAGGAGCUCUGGAAUACCAUCGCCGGGGACGGCUCAGAGGAUGAUGAAGAAGGUGUUAGAACCUUAGAUGAUGAUAAUUUCAUCGAUGACACUGGGGUUGACCCAGCUGACCGUUAUGACAAUGAUAAUGAUGGCCACUCUCCUCGACGUUUUGCACAGGCAGAGGAAGCUGAAGAGGACGACGAAAUUGAGCGGCUCUUUAAGGGUGGUAAGAAGAAGAAGAAGAAUGACCGACCACGUGCAGAUAUUGGUCUUAUAGUUGAACAGUUCAUUGCUGAGUUUGAAGUAGCCUCUGAAGAAGAUGCCAACCUAAAUAGGCAACAUAAACCAGCCAUUAACAAACUCAUGAAGCUUCCGCUCCUCAUAGAAGUUCUCUCAAAGAAGAAUCUCCAGCAGGAAUUCCUUGAUCAUGGAAUACUCACUCUUCUGAAGAACUGGCUUGAGCCUCUACCUGAUGGGAGCAUGCCCAAUAUGAAUAUUCGAUCUGCUGUACUGAAGUUACUAUCUGAUUUCCCAAUUGAUCUUGAGCAAUUCGACAGAAGAGAGCAGCUCAAGAAAAGUGGCUUGGGAAAGGUUAUUAUGUUUUUGUCAAAAUCUGACGAGGAGACUACUUCCAACAGAAAAUUAGCCAAGGAACUGGUUGAUAAAUGGAGUCGACCAAUAUUCCAAAAGAGCACAAGAUUUGAGGAUAUGAGGACAUAUGAUGGUGAAAGAGCUCCUUACAGGAGGCCUCAGAUGAAGAAGCCUUCGUCAAGUAGUUCUGGAAUGGAAUCAAGAGACGAUGAUCUUGAUGCUGACUUCUCUCAGCGCAAGUCCGGGCAAAGUGGUUCUAGGCAGCAUGCUUCUAGGCCAGAAGCAUCACCUUUGGACUUUGUCAUUCGUCCACAGUCCAAAAUUGACCCCGAACAGAUACGGGCUCGUGCUAAGCAACAAGUUCAAGACCAGCGCCGGCUGAAGAUGAACAAGAAACUGCAGCAGCUGAAAGCGCCGAAGAAGAAAAACCUCCAGGCUUCGAAGCUUAGUGUUGAAGGCCGUGGGAUGGUCAAGUACUUGUAA
rnacentral:rRNA from 1 species